AGGGACUCGUUCAAAUGCUCUUGAAA
rnacentral:piRNA from 1 species